UACGUAGGUGGCAAGCGUUACUCGGAAUCACUAGGCGUAAAGCGCAGGUAGGAGGUUUGAUAAGUCUGUUGUGAAAGCUCCCGGCUUAACUGGGAGAGGUCAACGGAAACUAUUAGGCUAGAGUGCGGUAGAGGUAGCUGGAAUUCCCGGUGUAGCGGUGAAAUGCGUAGAUAUCGAGAGGAAUACCUAUGGCGAAAGCAGGCUACUGGACCGUCACUGACUCUGAUAUGCGAAAGCUAGGGGAGCAAACAGG
rnacentral:rRNA from 1 species